GACAGAGGAUGCAAGCGUUAUCCGGAAUGAUUGGGCGUAAAGCGUCUGUAGGUGGCUUUUCAAGUCCGCCGUCAAAUCCCAGGGCUCAACCCUGGGCAGGCGGUGGAAACUACCAAGCUGGAGUACGGUAGGGGCAGAGGGAAUUUCCGGUGGAGCGGUGAAAUGCGCAGAUAUCAGGAGGAACACCGGUGGCGAAGGCGGUUCUCUGGGCAUUGACCUGACGCUGAGGAGCGAAAGUGUGGGGAGCGGAACAGG
rnacentral:rRNA from 1 species